GAUGAACGCUGGCGGCGUGCCUAACACAUGCAAGUCGAGCUAACAUACGAGGUGCUUGCCCCUCUGACGUUUGCGGCGGACGGGUCUGUCACCCCUGGUUAACCCAACUAUAAGACACGGAUAAUUUUGCCAAACCGUGUCUAAUACCGGCUACUAUAUUUUAUCAAAUCGUUCUAUAGUGAAAGACGGCUUUGCUUCCCCUUAUCGAUGGAUCCGCGUCGCAUUAGCUAGUUGGUAAGGUAACUGCCUACCCAGGCAACGAUGCGUGGCCGAACUGAGAGGGUGGUCGGCCACCCUGGAAGGGAGACACGCUCCAAGCGCCUACGGGAGGCAGCAGUAGGGAAUCGUGCGGAAUGGGCGGAAGCCUGACGGAGCAGCGCCAAGAGAGUGAUGAAGGUCCUCGGAUCGUAAAACGCUGUUAUUAGGGAAGAAAAAAUGUGUAAGUAACUAUGCACGUCUUGACGGUACCUAAUCAGGAAGCCACGGCUAACUACGUG
rnacentral:rRNA from 1 species